rnacentral:rRNA from 1 species
GACGAACCGUGCGAACGUUGUUCGGAAUCACUGGGCUUAAAGGGCGCGUAGGCGGCCCCGCCAGUCUCGGGUGAAAUCUUCCGGCCCAACCGGAAAAGUGCCCGGGAUACUGCGGGGCUCGAGCGAGGCAGGGGCGGGGGGAACUUCCGGUGGAGCGGUGAAAUGCGUUGAUAUCGGAAGGAACGCCGGUGGCGAAAGCGCCCCGCUGGGCCUCUUCUGACGCUGAGGCGCGAAAGCCAGGGGAGCGAACGGG